rnacentral:rRNA from 1 species
GACGAACGCUGGCGGCGUGCUUAACACAUGCAAGUCGAACGGAAAGGCCCUGCUUUUGUGGGGUGCUCGAGUGGCGAACGGGUGAGUAACACGUGAGUAACCUGCCCUUGACUUUGGGAUAACUUCAGGAAACUGGGGCUAAUACCGGAUAGGAGCUCCUGCUGCAUGGUGGGGGUUGGAAAGUUUCGGCGGGUGGGGAUGGACUCGCGGCUUAUCAGCUUGUUGGUGGGGUAGUGGCUUACCAAGGCUUUGACGGGUAGCCGGCCUGAGAGGGUGACCGGCCACAUUGGGACUGAGAUACGGCCCAGACUCCUACGGGAGGCAGCGGUGGGGAAUAUUGCACAAUGGGCGGAAGCCUGAUGCAGCAACGCCGCGUGCGGGAUGAAGGCCUUCGGGUUGUGAACAGCUUUGGCAUGUGACGAAGCGUGAGUGACGGUAAUGGGUAAAGAAGCACCGGCUAACUACGUG